rnacentral:lncRNA from 13 species
AUGAAGAAAGAAGUUGCCCCUAGAGCACCUGAAACAACUCAUAUUGAAGACUUUCUGGGGACUGGUAUUUAUCUUUCAAGCCAUCAAAGAACCUUCCAGAAGAGCCUAGAAUUGGUCUUUCUAAGCAUUGUGGAGAAGUCAGUAGAAGGAACUUUGCAUUCUGACAAAAAUGUAACAAUAGAAUAUCUGGCUGAAUAUUGAAUUUACUAAGAACAUAUAAUAUAUAACAAAGGAAAACAAUAGAUAAAUGAAUUAAUUUUUGUAACCAAACUCCUUCUGUGUUUUUUAAUGUCUUUCUGUAGCAUCUUAAGUUACCAGCUAACAUUUAUACAGUUUUCUCUUAGGCAGACAUUAAUUCACAAGAACCAAGACAUGCACUGAAAUAAUAGGGGCUACCUUAAAAGGCAUUCUCAUUUACACGGUUAUAUAUUCUUUGCAAAA